GUUAUAUGGUCAAGUGAAGAAGCGCAUACGGUGGAUGCCUUGGCAGUCAGAGGCGAUGAAAGACGUGGUAGCCUGCGAAAAGCUUCGGGGAGUCGGCAAACAGACUUUGAUCCGGAGAUGUCUGAAUGGGGGAACCCAGCCAUCAUAAGAUGGUUAUCUUGUACUGAAUACAUAGGUGCAAGAGGCGAACCAGGGGAACUGAAACAUCUAAGUACCCUGAGGAAAAGAAAUCAACCGAGAUUCCCUUAGUAGUGGCGAGCGAACGGGGACUAGCCCUUAAGUGGCUUUGAGAUUAGCGGAACGCUCUGGAAAGUGCGGCCAUAGUGGGUGAUAGCCCUGUACGCGAAAAUCUCUUAGUCAUGAAAUCGAGUAGGACGGAGCACGAGAAACUUUGUCUGAAUAUGGGGGGACCAUCCUCCAAGGCUAAAUACUACUGACUGACCGAUAGUGAACUAGUACCGUGAGGGAAAGGCGAAAAGAACCCCGGAGAGGGGAGUGAAAUAGAUCCUGAAACCGUAUGCGUACAAGCAGUGGGAGCCCACUUUGUUGGGUGACUGCGUACCUUUUGUAUAAUGGGUCAGCGACUUAUUUUCAGUGGCGAGCUUAACCGAAUAGGGGAGGCGUAGCGAAAGCGAGUCUUAAUAGGGCGUCUAGUCGCUGGGAAUAGACCCGAAACCGGGCGAUCUAUCCAUGGGCAGGUUGAAGGUUGGGUAACACUAACUGGAGGACCGAACCGACUACCGUUGAAAAGUUAGCGGAUGACCUGUGGAUCGGAGUGAAAGGCUAAUCAAGCUCGGAGAUAGCUGGUUCUCCUCGAAAGCUAUUUAGGUAGCGCCUCAUGUAUCACUGUAGGGGGUAGAGCACUGUUUCGGCUAGGGGGUCAUCCCGACUUACCAAACCGAUGCAAACUCCGAAUACCUACAAGUGCCGAGCAUGGGAGACACACGGCGGGUGCUAACGUCCGUCGUGAAAAGGGAAACAACCCAGACCGUCAGCUAAGGUCCCAAAGUUAUGGUUAAGUGGGAAACGAUGUGGGAAGGCUUAGACAGCUAGGAGGUUGGCUUAGAAGCAGCCACCCUUUAAAGAAAGCGUAAUAGCUCACUAGUCGAGUCGGCCUGCGCGGAAGAUGUAACGGGGCUCAAACCAUACACCGAAGCUACGGGUAUCACGUAAGUGAUGCGGUAGAGGAGCGUUCUGUAAGCCUGUGAAGGUGAGUUGAGAAGCUUGCUGGAGGUAUCAGAAGUGCGAAUGCUGACAUGAGUAACGAUAAUGGGUGUGAAAAACACCCACGCCGAAAGACCAAGGUUUCCUGCGCAACGUUAAUCGACGCAGGGUUAGUCGGUCCCUAAGGCGAGGCUGAAAAGCGUAGUCGAUGGAAAACAGGUUAAUAUUCCUGUACUUCUGGUUAUUGCGAUGGAGGGACGGAGAAGGCUAGGCCAGCUUGGCGUUGGUUGUCCAAGUUUAAGGUGGUAGGCUGGAAUCUUAGGUAAAUCCGGGAUUCUAAGGCCGAGAGCUGAUGACGAGUUACCUUUUAGGUAACGAAGUGGUUGAUGCCAUGCUUCCAAGAAAAGCUUCUAAGCUUCAGGUAACCAGGAACCGUACCCCAAACCGACACAGGUGGUUGGGUAGAGAAUACCAAGGCGCUUGAGAGAACUCGGGUGAAGGAACUAGGCAAAAUGGCACCGUAACUUCGGGAGAAGGUGCGCCGGUGAGGGUGAAGGACUUGCUCCGUAAGCUCAUGCCGGUCGAAGAUACCAGGCCGCUGCGACUGUUUAUUAAAAACACAGCACUCUGCAAACACGAAAGUGGACGUAUAGGGUGUGACGCCUGCCCGGUGCCGGAAGGUUAAUUGAUGGGGUUAGCUAACGCGAAGCUCUUGAUCGAAGCCCCGGUAAACGGCGGCCGUAACUAUAACGGUCCUAAGGUAGCGAAAUUCCUUGUCGGGUAAGUUCCGACCUGCACGAAUGG
rnacentral:rRNA from 1 species